rnacentral:rRNA from 1 species
GACGAACGCUGGCGGCGUGCCUAAUACAUGCAAGUAGAACGCUGAAGGAGGAGCUUGCUUCUCCGGAUGAGUUGCGAACGGGUGAGUAACGCGUAGGUAACCUGCCUGGUAGCGGGGGAUAACUAUUGGAAACGAUAGCUAAUACCGCAUAAUAGCAGUUAUUGCAUGAUAACUGUUUGAAAGGUGCAAUUGCACCACUACCAGAUGGACCUGCGUUGUAUUAGCUAGUUGGUGGGGUAACGGCUCACCAAGGCGACGAUACAUAGCCGACCUGAGAGGGUGAUCGGCCACACUGGGACUGAGACACGGCCCAGACUCCUACGGGAGGCAGCAGUAGGGAAUCUUCGGCAAUGGACGGAAGUCUGACCGAGCAACGCCGCGUGAGUGAAGAAGGUUUUCGGAUCGUAAAGCUCUGUUGUAAGAGAAGAACGAGUGUGAG